ensembl:lncRNA
AGAGGCCAUAGGCACGGAAGGAGAGUAAGAGGCCAUGGCAGAGGGGCCCGAGGAAGAGGAGUUUGUAUGCGUUGUGGAGGAGCUGCAGCAGCAAGAGGACAAAAUCGAGCUCAAGUUUCAAAUGAAAUUCGGGCAACAAUUAUUGACCAUGUCAUCAAUCAUGGCUUGUCCUGAGUCGGAGCACUGUGGCAUCUAUUGUCAGGCUUUUUCGGAAUGAGAACAGAAUCCACACAUUGCCACACACUGGUGGCAGAGGAAAGAUAUUUAGUAUUGAACAGGAGUCUGCCAUUGUAGAUAUGGUAGUGGCAAACAAUGCAAUCAGACUGCGUGAAAUCCAGGCAGCAGUAAUUGCAGAUCAGGGAGCAUUUAGAAAUAUAAACAGUGUGAGUUUGGCAACUAUAGAUCGAGUCCUUAAACGAAACCAUGUCAGAAUGAAGCAGCUGUACAGAGUUCCAUUUCAAAGAAACUCUGAGAUCGUAAAGGAGGCACGAUUCCAGUAUGUGCAGAGAAUAAUGGAGCUUGAAGCUGAAGGGGCACAUCACAAAUUAAUUUUUGUGGAUGAAGCCGGCUUCAACCUCUGUAAAGUGAGGCGAC